UCUCCGUAGGUGAACCUGCGGAAGGAUCAUUGUCGAAACCUGCCCAGCAGAACGACCCGCGAACUUGUAUAAACAACUGGGGGCGGGGGGGGCGUUCUCGCCCCGUGCCCCCGAACGGCGGGGAGACACUCGUGCCUUCUUGCCGAACAACGAACCCCGGCGCGGUCUGCGCCAAGGAACUUCAACUAAAGAGGGCCUCCGGUCGCCUCGGAAACGGCGUGCGGGCCGGAGGCAAAUCUUGUGCAAAACCAUAACGACUCUCGGCAACGGAUAUCUCGGCUCUC
rnacentral:misc_RNA from 1 species